rnacentral:rRNA from 1 species
UGGGGAAUUUUGGAUCAAUGGGGCAACCCGUCGAUCCAGCAAUGCCGCGUGAGUGAAGAAGGCCUUCGGGUUGUAAAGCUCUUUUGUCAGGGAAGAAACGGUGGUGGCGAAUAACUACUACUAAUGACGGUACCUGAAGAAUAAGCACCGGCUAACUACGUGCCAGCAGCCGCGGUAAUACGUAGGGUGCAAGCGUUAAUCGGAAUUACUGGGCGUAAAGCGUGCGCAGGCGGUUGUGUAAGUCAGAUGUGAAAUCCCCGGGCUCAAGCCUGGGAAUUGCAUUUGGAGACUGCACGGCUAGAGUGUGUCAGAGGGGGUAGGAAUUCCACGUGUAGCAGUGAAAUGCGUUAGAUAUGUGGAGGAAUACCGAUGGCGAAGGCAGCCCCCUGGAUAACACUGACGCUCAUGCACGAAAAGCGUGGGGAGCAAACA